rnacentral:rRNA from 1 species
UACGUAGGGUGCAAGCGUUGUCCGGAAUUAUUGGGCGUAAAGAGCUUGUAGGCGGUUUGUCGCGUCUGCUGUGAAAUUUCGGGGCUCAACCCCGAACUUGCAGUGGGUACGGGCAGACUAGAGUGUGGUAGGGGAGACUGGAAUUCCUGGUGUAGCGGUGAAAUGCGCAGAUAUCAGGAGGAACACCGGUGGCGAAGGCGGAUCUCUGGGCCUUACCUGACGCUCAGGCGCGAAAGCUAGGGGAGCAAACGGG